rnacentral:tmRNA from 1 species
GGGGGUGAUAUGGUUUCGACGAGGAUGAGGGAGUCUAAGAUAGCAUGCCGUGGUCGCCGUGUCCACGUCAAAAAGCGGCAAAAAAAUAAGUGCCGAAUACAAUUACGCACUGGCUGCCUAAUUAAUUUAGGCAACCCGUUCACUCAGAUCUCGCCCAUUGGACCUGGGCUGAACGUCGCCUAAAUGGGCUAGUUCCUUUCUGUACUCAAGGGAAAGGAAUGAAACCGUUAAUAACGGUUAUCUGCUUGAGUUAGUAUAAAGGGUAUUCUUCCUGUCGAAGAUCCUUUAUUCAAAUAAAAAAGACAGGAUAAGCAUGUAGAAAUCUUAGGGUUCUUCUCUUCGGACCGGGGUUCGACUCCCCGCACCUCCACAU